UACGUAGGGGGCUAGCGUUGUCCGGAAUCAUUGGGCGUAAAGCGCGUGUAGGCGGCCUUGUAAGUCAGAUGUGAAAACUCAGGGCUCAACCCGGAGACGCCAUCUGAUACUGCGGUGACUGGAGUCUGGUAGGGGAACACGGAAUUCCUGGUGUAGCGGUGAAAUGCGCAGAUAUCAGGAGGAACACCGAUGGCGAAGGCAGUGUUCUGGGCUGACACUGACGCUCAUGCACGAAAGCGUGGGGAGCAAACAGG
rnacentral:rRNA from 1 species